rnacentral:rRNA from 1 species
UACUCGAGUGGCGAACGGGUGAGUAACACGUUGGUGAUCUGCCCUGCACUUCGGGAUAAGCUUGGGAGACUGGGUCUAAUACCGGAUAGGAGCCAUCUUUAGUGUGGUGGUUGGAAAGUUUUUUCGGUGUAGGAUGAGCUCGCGGCCUAUCAGCUUGUUGGUGGGGUAAUGGCCUACCAAGGCGGCGACGGGUAGCCGGCCUGAGAGGGUGUACGGCCACAUUGGGACUGAGAUACGGCCCAG